rnacentral:rRNA from 1 species
UACGUAGGGGCAAGCGUUGUCCGGAAUUAUUGGGCGUAAAGCGCGUGUAGGCGGCCAGAUAAGUCCGCUGUGAAAUCUCGAGGCUCAACUUCGAGCUGUCGGUGGAAACUGUCUGGCUAGAGUCCGGAAGAGGAGAAUGGAAUUCCUGGUGUAGCGGUGAAAUGCGCAGAUAUCAGGAGGAACACCGGUGGCGAAGGCGGAUCUCUGGGCCUUACCUGACGCUGAGGCGCGAAAGCUAGGGGAGCGAACAGG